AGGAAUGUGGCUUAGUGGUAGAGUGCUUGCCUAGCAUGCAUGAAGCCCUGGGUUCCAUUCCUC
rfam:Dipodomys ordii contig_39649, whole genome shotgun sequence.